rnacentral:lncRNA from 1 species
AGUUAAUGGCAGCAUAAACAAGACUGAUGGAAGUAAACAAAUAUCAAAGCUAGUAAGUUCAGAAGCACCGGUUAAAUACGGUGUUUCACCAGCAAAAGUUGCCCAGGUUGAGCGUCAGACCUCAACAGAAAGUGAGGAAUCUUCUGACUUAUGUGACGAGAAUCAAAUGUCUGCAGAAAGAUGUCGAACUCUUAUAAGAAUUGCAACGCCAAGACGGUCAGCAUCUCCUAUGCGAAGGGUUGAAAUAGGGAGGAGUGGCUCUCGUAGAGUCCCUGCUCUGACCAUAAAGAGCCUUAGUUACUUUCCUGCUAGAGAAAAGAUAUUGUCUCAAAGAGAUGUAGCUUCAGAUGAUAGCGAAGAGGAACGAUCUUAACACAUUAAGAAACCUGAGAAUAAUGUUCGGCGUAUGAGUGUUCAAGAUGCAAUAAAUCUUUUUGAAAGUAAACAAAGGGAUCAGAUUACUGAUGUUCCAAAAAAGAACUCAUUAACAAAUAUCUCUCUUGGUCCUAGUAAGUCUGUAUUGAGAAGAUGGAGUACAGGUAUGGGCGAAUCCUCCUCCAAAUGCCAAUCACAGAAUGCUUCUGAAUAUCCUGUUGCAGAGCCUCCUGAUAAUGUCAUUGAUAGUGAUAUCAUGCAGAGGUCAGCAGAAGUUAAUUUGGAAUCUGCUACUAGGACCGGAGCAGAAAACAUCAAUGAGACUGCUGAUCUGAAGUUAGAAAGGCCGGAAGAGAGCUCAUGUAGUCCGAUAGAUGUUCAAGACGUAACAGAUAUAAUCCAUGAAGAGGAAGCUAACGAGAAGUCAAAAGGAUCAGCUGAAUGGAGUCGACAGAAGGAAGUGGAGUUGAACCAAAUGUUCAAAAAAGUGAUGGAAAAUCAGCCUGAUAGCUGUUGGAAGCCUCAAACGAAAGUCAGACCAAAUCUGCCUCCAGAGCAGAGAGGUGGAUUUUUUUACUAUUACAAGGAGACGAGGGACGAAAAACUUAGAGGAGAGAAUACUGGAAAGCGUGCUGAAAAAGAAGCAAAAUAUAGAGCAAUGCAGAAAAUUCUUGAAGAGAGGAAAGCAGAAAUGGCUUCCACAACCGUGAAUAAUUUUUGUAAAAAGGAUCCUCCGGCAAAAACCCAAAAAUCUGUUAAGAAUUCCCAAAAGUUACUAAAGAAUCCUUCUCAGCCUGCUAAUAAAAGGAAGGAAACCACAAAACCUUCAACUGCAAAGAAGGUUUCAUCUAGAACAUACCCCUUGCCUGCUACUCGUAAGUCAUGGCCUUCAACACCAUCUCCGAGAACAACAGGAACAUCACCAGCUAAAACUUCCGGUGGAAUCUCUUCUGCUGGCACUACACCAACACGGCGGAAUCCUCAGUCAGCACAAUCAGUACCUCGACCAAGUUCUAUAGUGGAAAGUUCCCAGCCACAACGAAGAAAUGUGAAGGCAACCCAGACUGAUAAACGAGGUUUAGUGGGUGUGAAUGAGAAGCAGCAAAAAAAUUUGAUGAAAAGCAGCAAAACAACAAAGACAACAGUUGCAGCAGCUCCUGGGGACUCUUCCAGUAUGUUUCUAGCGAAGCCUAGUUUGUAUAACAAGGUGACGAAGAAAAGUAGUGUAGUUCCACUGGAAUCAAAGCCAUAUCUACGUAAAGGUUCAGGAUUUACCUCUAGUGUUGGUCUUGUUAACAAGCCCAAAAAUCCUUCUCAGUUAGAGGACUCUUUGAAAAACACUGAAAUUUCUAAUGAUCCUCAAGAGAGUGAUGUGAUUGUUAAUGCUUCUGUCUUGGUGAAUGAGCAUCAGGAUCAGGAUGUUUCAUCACAGGAUCAUUGUGAUGAUGCUAUUCAGUCAGAAACACAACUAAAUGGCCAUCAGAAAUGUGAUGUGAUUGGGAGCGUUGAUGAACUUGCUCCUGACUUUGAUGAUGGCUUAAAAAAUAUUCCCGGUUCUUUCCAACGUGACGAAGAAUCGGCCAUCUCACCAACUGCUUGAGUGGAAAUAGAAGAGCAUCAGGACCUGCCUAACCAAUGUGAUGAGAAAACAGGUGAAAUUAAAUCUUCAACCAGCAUUGCACCUGUUGGAUCGGCAAGUCCACGUGUCCGUCACUCUCUGUCACAGAUGCUGCAAGAAGAAAGUAGUGAGGGCGAUACUACUGAAUGGGGAAAUGCUGAAAAUCCGCCUGCAAUGGUCAAUCAGAAAGAUGCACCCAAGGGAUUGAAGAGACUGUUGAAGUUUGCUCGGAAGAGUAAAGGGGAUGCAAAUAUAACUGGUUGGUCUAGCCCAUCAGUCUUUUCUGAAGGAGAGGAUGAUGCAGAAGAAUCAAAAGUUAUUAAUAAGAGAAAUUCUGAUAAUCUACUGCGAAAGGCUGCCCUUCAUGCAAAGAAAUAUGAGCAACAAAAGACAUUGUUGACUGAUGGCUAUGAAAAUCAUUUGGAUUUUCAUGAGCUUCCAUCUGGUAUAUUUUCUCUUCGCCAUAAUCAUUACAUGCUUAUUUUCUGUCAAACUGUUUUCAGUGUUUCUCGUAUAGAUAGAAUCUAGAUGGUUAUAGGUCUAAAGCAUAGAAGUAAUUGCUUUUAUGCUUGUGGCACAUUAUUCCGUAGCUUAUCUGUUGUCUCUUCUUUGCUCAACUUUCUGGGAAAUACCAAAAUAAUUAUAAAUAUUUCCAUUCCCAGACUCUUUACGAGUCUCAUUAUCAGAGUACUGUGCAUUUUGUGUAUGCAGCUCAAUCAGGCAUUAGCACGGUUGAUGCCCACAAAUUGCACAAGGGCAGUGUCUCAGCUGCUGCCUCCACUACUAAAGCUCAAUUUCCAUCUUCCUUACUUUGUUGAAGUUUCCGUAGUUCCUUUCCCUUAUUUUCUGGAAUAAUUGUUUAUUUUCUUUUCAAUUUGGGACUGUAUGUUUUGUAGUUUGAAUUCCAAUCUUCUUUUGCCAAUUUUUUUUUUUCAGGAACAAGGUCAUUCUUCUCCCUUUCAGCAUUUAGGGGUAGUAAACCAAGUGAGACAAAGCUUCGCUAAGACUAGGAUCAUUUAUAAAAUUCGAGGUUAUUGACGUUUGCUCUCUCCCAGUCCUAGGCGAACUAAACUUUGUUGGAGCCAAAAUUUCCUCCGCCUUUCUCUUACCAUUUUUUGGGUGUUUCUUUUGCAUGUCAGCAAUCGUGGAUCUUCUCUAGGCUUGUCUUUUGUGUAGGUGGAGUGUUCAAUUAUACAGUACGUUGCAGUAUUAGGAUUUCCAUCCUGCUAAACAUAUUGUUAUAUGUGAACCACUAUGUUGAGGACAUAAAACAAUGAUGAAUUAAUUGAUUUUCCUUUUAUGAGCACACAUUAUAACAAAAUUCAAAAAUUUCAAGCCUUGCACUGUGGAGUCCACAGACAGCAAGCUCUCAUCUAGAUUCUUAUUUCACUACAUGGAAGCUUUGGAGCACUAGGGAUGUUAAGUGGGAACUGGCAAUUGUAUAGUAGGGAUGGUAAAACAAUUUAUAUCUUAAGAGUUUCAAUUUAUUUUAUCUGAUAAAAAAAAUUUUUUUUAAAUUCAAAAUCAAGUCAGAGGUAAAAUGAGUAUUUUUUUAAAAAUUGAAAUUCGUCAAAGACAAGUUUUAGAUAUUUAAUUUAUCUCAUUUCGAGAUAUAUUUAAAAUAUAUAUUUUAUUAUUUAUUUAUUUAUAUAUAUAUGUAUAUAUAUAAAUAAAAUUAUUAUUUUUACUUUAAUUUAAGAUGUUAAUUUAAAAAAAUAUUAUAUUUAUAAAUAACUAAAAUAUAAUUAAUAUUAACAAUAAUAUUUUAUGAAUAUUACAUUAAAUUAAAAUUAUUAAAAUAAUUUUAAGUCAGAUGCUAAUUAGAUAUAGAUUAUACAUAUAUAAGUUAGGUCAAAAUCAGAUAUAAAAUAAAAUAAUUCAAAUCAAAAUCGGAUUGGAAUAAAAAUGACAAAAACUCAUCUUGACCCGUUGUCACCCUUAUAUGUAGCUUUGGAUUCCCAUUUAUUGACACUUUCAGUUUCCUAUGUUUGAUAAAAGACUAAGCAGUUUGGUGGUUCACUUAAUUUUUCAGCAAUGAAUAUUGUUGUCCGGUUCAGCAGCUACUGAAUUCUUAGACAACUGGCAGAAAUGGAGGAUUUCCAGCUCAACACAUCCCUUAUUCCCGUUUAAGACCAUGUGUUCGCAUUUCAAUUGCUUUGAUAUUCAUAAAAGAAAGGGGCAAGCGUGUGUUUCAAACUUCAAAGUAUGGAGCUAAACAACUAAUUAUAGUUCAACGAUUUGUCGAUCUAAAUUCAGAGGUUUCUCCGUUAUUGCUUUAAACAACAAUGUUAAUGAUAGCGUAACAAUUAGGUUUUACAAAACUACGGACGGUUUCAUUGGUUGGACGGAUGCUGAAGCUGCUUUAGACUAAGGGUCAAUCAAAACUAUUCCACUAGAGAUCGCACCCAGGCUCUGCAUCGCUAUUCUCCGGUAAAAGACCUAGUUACUGUUCUCAGGUAAAAUAACCGGAGUUGUUAUCAAACAAAACGUUCAUCGAAUAAAUUCAUAAAUAUGCUUGAAUUUUAUUCAUUUAUAUUCUUUAUUAAACUUAAUAAAUAAUUACGAACACAUUUCAAUGUUCAUUAAUUAAACAAAUAAAUCAUGAAUAUAACAAAAUUUGUUCAUAUACGAGCAUUUACACCCAAAGUAUUAAAAAACAAAACAUCCACCAAAAAAUUUAUAAGCAGACUCGAUUUCUAUUUCUUUAUGUUCAAUUACUAAAUUUAACAAACAAUUAUAAACACUAUUCCAUGAUUCGUUAAUUAGAUGAACAAAUCACAAACAUACUAAAAUUCAUUUAUAUUCAAUUCGUUAAUACCCUUAAAAAAAAUUGCAAUCAAGCAUUAUGAUAAGCAACAUCGCAGGACUAAUAUGGAUCCUCCUCAAGGCUAAGGAUAACUAUAUAAGAAAAUUUAGAUACUGUGUUGCUAAAAUAGAUCUCGGGAGAUGUGAUGUGGGCAAUAAGGAAAGCACAAAUCCCCAGUCCCUUGUUAUUUCCAACAUGCUAACAUACAAUGCAAAGAAGUUUCCUGCUUAACUUUUGGAGCUGCAGCUUAUCUCUGGUUGCUGAUAAAGCUGCUGCAAAACAAGAAUAGUCUUGAUAUGCAUAACGAACACCCACCACCUUCUUUUUCCUCCUUCACCUUCAUUUCCUUGGCUUGAUAACAUUGUAAACAUCUUCACCUUUUCAGCUAGCUUAAAAGCACAAAGGUCUGACCCUUUGUCUCUAUUGAGCUGUUCAAUGAAAUUGUGAAUAUGAGAAUUAUCACAAAGAACUCUGAAAUAUGAUCUUAACUGAGCUUUGUAUCUGUUGCCAAAGAUACGGAAAUUCACAAGAUUUUGAAUUCAACAAGCAUUAAUAGCAAAGAAGCAGUUGAAGAUAUAGCAGUUAAAGCCAAGAAGCAACACAUCCACCCCUUGCAGCCAAAUAAACCAUAAUUAGAUUUGUUAAUACAACCGGCGAUGACUAUUAUUACUCAAUGACAAACAAGUGCAGUUCUAAUACUGUUUUUGGCAUAGAUAUCUCAACAGAGAAGUUAAUUAUGACAAUAUUCAUCAAACUUUUCAUAUAUUUGAGAGAUACCAACUACAAGAAUAGCUAAACCAUCAUAAAAGAUAAAUGCAAAAAAGAGAUCAAUUCCAGAGUGAAAAUGAAACCUUUCACCCCUGCAUCAAUAUCUAAGCUGAUCUCAAUUACUGCUCCCCUGAAAAAUAAGAGGAUCCAAAUGGCUGUUGCCCUGUCAUUUGACAAGUCAAGAAUAUUGCUGUCCUCCCAUCUGAGGGAAGCCUGAUGGUGGUUGUCCUGCCAUCCGAUGAGAACCUGAUGACUGCCAUCCAGCCAUCUCAGCAGGUCCUGAGGGUGGCCGUGGUGGUUGUCCAAAAGCUCGAGGUUGAGGCCUAGGGAAUCUCCACCUAUUUUCAUUUAAAACUCUAUCAAUCUCUUCAUUCCGCCCAACAUUCCCAAAAGCCCCACGCACAAACUCCUGCAAUGCAGGAGUAACACCAAUAGAAUACUUCAUCAUCUCGUCCAGUAUAUCUAGGCUUUUGUCCAGCUCAUCAGCAUCACAAAGUCCUCUGACUACAACAUCAUAAAGAGCGGCAUCUGGCUUAGGAUCUUUCUCCCCCAUUUUAGUCAAAAGUGAUGCGGCUUCCAUGUUCUUCCCAUUCUUGAGAAAUUCACUGAAAACCCUAGUUCCAAAACUGGCAACCACCACCAGUCUCAACCAUCUUUGUGAAUAACUGUAAAGCAUCAUCAACCCGCUCUGCUUUCAAGUAUGCAUCAAUCAUGGUUCUGUACAUUGGAACAUCUGGUGUCAACGACUUUCCACACAAUUCUUGAAAAAAUCUUUCCGCCUCAGAUAGCAUACCAUGCUCACAAAACCUGGUGACGAUAUUAUUAUAACCAGCAACAUCCAUCGCAAAAGGCUUGGAUCCAGGCUUCGUGCCUACCUUCUUAAAAGUUUUAAUGGCCUCCUCAAAAUUCCCCAACUUGAAACACUCAUUCACCAUGAUAUUAAAAGUAUCAGAAUUCGAAGCCUGCGUGUUAGGAGGGGUAUGAUUAUCCAGCAUAUCUUCGAACAAGGCCCAAGCUUCCUUCGUCUUCCCAUGUUUAAGCAAAACCUCCAAAAGUGUAUUACAAGUGGGAGGAGGCAUCUUAAAUUUCCUAUCCAACAACGACUUAUACGAGUCCAUGGCUUCCUUAUCCUUUCCCUGAUUAAACCACCAUUCCAUAAACGUAGCAUUGACAACUCCAUCGUAAACCAAUCAACGCUCUUUCAACUCAUCAAACAGCUCAUUGGCCUUGUUCAAAUUCCCCAAAUUCAAAAACCCGGAUAAAAGGUUGUUGAAAACUAAAGAGUCAGCACCGUGCCCUUUAUUCAACAUUUCCCUGAGCAUAUCCACGGCUUCCCCAAUCCUCCCAGCAUCGAUCAAGCCUUUGGUCAAGUGCCUAUAAGUCACAGGAGAGGGGUUAAACGGCGCCAUCUCCAAAAUCUCGUGGUAAACUUGGAUAGCAGUAUCAACUUCACCCCUAUCGCAAUGCGUAUUAAUCAAAUUGUUGUAAGAAACAACAUUUGGAACCAGAUCAGAUUGCUUAAAGAAGAAGUGAAAGAGAGCAAUUGCCUCGUUGAAGCGUUUGUUGCGGUACAUGGCGGCAAUGAUGGCGUUGCAAGUGAAGACAGUGGGGCGAGUGGAGGAGAACACGGAGGAACGAGCCAGGAGAGAGGCGGCGUCUAGGUCGGAGGCGCGGAUAAGGGACUGAACACGGUUGUGCAGGUUAAGCCGAUGCCCAACGAGGGCAGAGGUGCUGUCUGGAAGCCGCGGGGCAUUAGGGUCAUGAGUGGGAGGGGCAGACGGGGCUGAGGCACGGAGGGCGUGUAUUGGGGGCUCUAAACGCAAACGCCGCCGAACUGCCGUGGCUUCUUCUGCAGAAGUGAACCCGUAGGAGCAUGGGGGUGGGGGUGGGGACGGGGAAGGAGUCUGAGGAUUUUGGAUUGGAUUUUCGAAGGCAGGGUUAAGCGCAACAUUGUGACGUAAGCGAGAGAGGAGAAGAGUAGGGGUGGCUUUGGGACGCUGGUGGCGGUGAUUGAGGGAGCGAAAGAGGGAAAGGCGGAAUAGGGGCAUGGCUCAAGCGAGUAAGAGAACCCUAAAUGCUUCAACCCUACAUUACAGCAGCUUAAAGUAACCUUCGACUUUGGAGACUCUCUCUCGGGGAAUAUAUGAAACUAGCUGAUAGUCGCGAACGUUCUUGCUGCUCUAAAUUUUCUUUAAUUUUGUUAUUUUUAUUCAUUAAUUUUUUUAAUUUAUUUAAAUUAAAAUUAAAAAAUUAAAUAAAGAUGACACAUUGAUGUCUAAUUAGGUCCCUUAUUCUCACAAAAUACGUAAUAAAAAAUAAAAAUUUAAAACUAAAAAUUAUAAAAAUAAAAGAAAACUCAUAGAGGAUUUUACAUAAACAAUCUCAUUGAAUUUAAAAUAUUAAUUUUUAAUUUAAAAUAUCAAAUAAUAAUUUUAUUAAAAUAAUAAAUAUAUAUACCUUUAUAUAUUAGUUUUAGGUACGUACAUAAUGCAUGUGAAAUUAUUAUCUUUAAAACUUUAUUUCAAUAAAUAAUUUUUUAAUAAUAUGAUAAUAAUAAUUAUAAAUACUAAUAUAGGUAAAUUUUGAUAACCUUUUACAUAUUUUUAAAAAUAAUAAUAAAUAUUAAUAAUUUAAUUUGUUUUUUAUAUUAUAAGUAAAAUUUUAUAACUUUUAAUGUAAUUUUUGAUUUUCAUAACAUUUAAUAAAAUUUUGGUAACCUAUGAUACAAUUUUGAUAACAUUCGACAUUAAUUUGAUAACUUAUGAUAUAAUUUUGGUGAUCAUUAAUAUAAUUUUGAUAAUUGUUUAUAAAAUUUUAGUAACCUCUUAACGUAAUUGUAGUAAUUUUUGGUAACUUAUUAUAUAUUUUUAGUAAUUAUUGUUAAAAUUUAUAUCAUCAUAUAUUUAACAAUGAAUUCGCUGUAAAAAAAUGAUAUUUCAAUUCUAAUAUAAAAGUAAUUUUUUAUAUAAUAAUAUUAUUAUUUCAUUCAAAUUUAGAAUUUAUUCACUAAUUUUUUUUAUUGAAUAUGUUCAUAUUAGAUUAUCAUAGCUUCUUAGAUAAAAUUCAUAGCUUUAUUUUUGUUAUUAACCAAGUUUUAAUUUCUGACAACUUUAAGUAUAAAAAUUUAUUAAUAAUUAAAUUAUCAUUGAUUUAAUAUUUUUUUAUCAUUGAUUUACUACUAAGUCAUCAAUGAUGUACUAUUAAAUUAGCAUUGAAGUACUACUAAUUUAUAAAUAAUUUACUAUUAAGUUAUGAAUUAUUUACCAAUAAAUUAUUAAUGAUUUACUAUUAAAUUAUUGAUAAUUUAUUAUAAAGUUACAACUAAUUUUUUAUUAAUUUGUUAAUAAUUUACUACAAAAUUAUCAAUAAUUAACUAAUUUAUUACAAAUUAUCAUUGAUUUAUAAGUAAAUUAGCACUGAUUUACAACUAAGGUAUCACUGAUUUAAUAUUAUAUUAUUAUACAUUUACUACUAAGUUACUAUUGAUUUACUACUUUGUUUUUUAUUAUUUACUACAAAAUCAACACAGAUUUAUUACUAAAUUAAUAUCGUCAGUCAACUUGCUGAUUUGAUAUGAAUAUUUAAUAAAAUAUUGAUAUGUGUAAAACUUUCAGCUAAUACUACAUCAUAAAUUGCAUGUCAGCAUUAAAAGAAAUUUUCAAAAAAUUUUAAAAACUAAAAAAAUUAUGGAUUUAAAAAAAAUUGAAUUUAAAAAAAUUUAAAAAAUUAUGAAAAUGACAAAAAAAAUGAAACUUUUAAUAAAAAUAAAAUUGUCUUAAAGUUCUAAAAAAAUUCAAAAAUCUUUUUAAAAAAUCUAAAUCUAAUUUGUUUUGAAAAAAAAGUGAAAGUUAAAAAAUCUAAAACAUUUUGAAAAAAUCUGAAUUUUUUUAAAUUCUUAAAAUUACAAUAUUUCAAAAAAUCUAAAACAUUUUAAAAUUUAUAAAAAAAUUUAAAACGUUUUUGAAUAAUUAAAAGAAUAAGAAAAUUUUGAAAGUUUUACUAAAAAAUCUAAAAAUUCAAAUAAAAAUUGAAAAUUUUUAAAAAUAAAAACAAAGCAUUUUAUUUUUUUUCAAUUUUUCAUAAACUUGUAAUUUUUGUAAAUUUUUAAAGAUUUUUCAGAUUUUUUGAAAUUUUAUUAAUUUUUCUAAAUUUUAAAAAAGUAUUCUUAAAAUUUUUUAAAUUUUUAAUGUAAUUUAAUUUUUUUUAAUUUUCAGUAUUUUUAAUUUUUGUGAAUUUUUUUUGUUUUUAUUAUUAUAUUCAUUUUUAAUACUUGUGUUAAAUUUUUCAAAACUUUUUUUUUAUAUUCUUGGAUUUUGUAUUAAAUUUUGAAGAUUUUAGUUUUUUAUUUUUUAAGAUUUUUUAAAUUUUGUAGGAUUUUUCUUAUUAUUUUCAAAAAUUUUAAUUUUUCAUUACUCUUUUUUUUUUAUAAUUUAGUAAAAAUAUUUUAGAUUUUUAAAGAUUUUAAUUUAAAAAAAUUUAGAAUAUUUAUAAAAUUUUCAAAAUUUUUUUCAUUUUUCAAAACUUUUAAGUUUUUUUUUUUUACUUUUUGAAUUUUAAGAAUUUAUUUUAAAUUCCCAUUUUUUAAUUUUUUUUAAUUUUGAGUUUUUUUUAAUUUUAAAAUUUUUUUAUAAUUUUUAAAAUAUUUUGGUUUUCAUAAUUUUUUGAAAUAUUUAAUUUUUUUUAAUUUUAAAAAAAUUAGAAAAUUUUUCAAAAUUUUCUUUUAAUUGCUAAUGUGGCAUUGAUUGAAUGUUAAUGUUACAUCAAUAAAUUGAGUAAUGAUGUUAUUUUGAAAUAACAAACUACAUGACAAAAUAAAGGGUAAAAUAUUAAAUUAUAAUUUUAUUUUUUUAAGUAUUAAAUUGACAAAAAAUGUAUAAUACAAUAACCAAAUAUAUAUUUAUCCCAUCUCAAAGACUCAAUUAGAUUGUUAAAAACCCAAUAUCCAUCUAGUCCAAAAAUCUUCAAUCCAGUCCACAAUUCAAAAAAAAAAAAAAGUUGAGAAUUAAUUUCAUAAUUAAUUAAUUAAAUAAGAAGUUAAUUUCAUAUACCAAAUGGUGUAGUUUGUUAAUUUUAAUUAACUUUAAAUUAGGUGUAGGGUUAGUUAGGUCAUUUUAGUUUGUUUAUUGAGAAUUAGUUGGAACAUUUUAGUUUGUUUAUUGAGGGCAUAUUGUGAUCAUUUUCAUUUAAUUUUUGUACUAUUUUUUAAUGUUAAUUAUUAACAUAGCAUCUUAUUAUUUAAGUCUAGAAGGAAGCUUUAAAUUUCACUAAAGCACGAGUCUCUAACUAAUAUGAAUAUAAAAUUUAUAAUAAAAGGAAAUUUUAUUCUUUUUAUUAAUAUUUUUUAAAACAAUUGUAUGGACAAAAAGGAUAGUUAAUUACAGUCAUAUACAUGGCGACAAUAACACUAUUAUAUAAUUAAACAUAUCUAUGAAUGAACAUUAUAUACUAUUUAUAACAAAUUGUAUACCAUAUUACAUGAUAUAAUUUAAAUACCCUAGUUUAUAAGUGGCUAAGGACUUUAAAUUUUAUAUUUUGGUUUAAUUGAGAUACUCCUUCCGUCUCUUUUUUUUUUUUUUUGUUCUAUCUUUUUUUAAUAUCUCAAAAUUAUAUAUACAUAUAUAUAUUACAUUUACAACUCUUAUUUUUUAUAUUUUAAAAUUAUUUUUUAUGAUUUUUUUUAUUUUUUGAUAUUAAAAAUUAUAGAACUUUAAUUUUAUAUAAAAAAAUAAAAUUUAAUAUUAAAUACAUUAAAGUCACAAAUUUUUUCUUAAAUUUUAUGAAAAUCAUAGUACCCAAAUAAUAUGGGACGAAAGGAGUAUUAGUUAAACAUCAAAGUAUCGCAAUUUUAUAUCAAAUUUAUAUUUUGGUACAAGUAAUUAAAACAUUAAUACUUUAUGAGUAAUCCAAAUGUUAGUAAGUUUAUUAUAAUGCAUCAAUCUUAAUUUGUCUUAGGGUAAAAUUAGUAUUAUUAAGUUUUGUAUAUUAAUUUGAUUGAUUUUUUGAAUUAAAAAAGGGAUAAAUUCGUGAAUUAUCUCUAAGUUAUAGUAAAAUAUUUAAUAUUAUAUUUAAUGUUUAAAAGUCUUUAACAUAGUAUAUAAAUUAUAAAUAUGUUAAUUAAUAUGAUACUUUAAAAAAAUUUUAUAUGUCACGUAUCAUUAUUUGAAACUAGCUAUGUUAGAAAUAAAUACCAUAUUAAUUAACAUAUUUAUAAUGCAGAUAUCAUAUUAAACAUUUUGUUAUAAUUUAAGGAUAAUUUAUGAUAUUAAUUCUUAAAAAAAAAGAAAUCAUUUGAAAAUUAAAAUUAUGUCUCAUUUUUUUAAAAAUAAAUAAACUAAUUUAAUAGAAAAUAAAAACUUUGGUGAAAAUCAAUUCUAAAUAGCUAAACUAAAACCAUAGGUUAAUGGAGGAUAUUUAAUUUUAUAAACAAAUAUUGUUCAACCUUAAACAAAAAAUUAUAGUCCAACAUUUAAAAUUAGGAUAAAAUCACAAAUAUUUUGUAUUGAAUUAAUUAGAAUUUUAGCAAGCUACAAAGUAUUCAAAUUGAUUUUUAAAAUGAUUAAAAAAUAUGAAAAUGAAAUAAAAUGAUUUUUUAGUUUCAAAAGAGCUCAAUGAUAAAAAUAUUAUAAUUAGAUUAAUGGAGAUAAAAGAGAUAUGCAUAUAAUUUUAAAAAUUAAAAAUAUUAACAAAUUUUUACAAUAAUUUAAAAAUAUUUUUCUUAAUCUACGUUGGCUUUGAUAAAUUGCAUAAUUUUAAAUAUCAAUAUUUAAGUUUUUAUUUAAAUUCAAUAAAUUGCAUAUUUUAAUCAUUAUAUUAUGUGUUAAGACAAUUCAUAUAAAUAUUUAUGUCAGCACACAUUAUUCCAUAAUAUUUUAACUUACUAUAUUAUAUAUGUAAUAUUCUUUUAUAUAAUUAUAGAUGUAUAGUAUUAUGUUUUUAUUGUUUUUUUAUAUGAAGAAUGAUUUUUUUUUUUUACCAACCAGAAGAAUGACUUUUUAAUUGAUAAAAAAAGAAUGCCAUUUUAAUUUAGUGAGUAUUUUUAAUUUUAUUAUCUGUCUAAAAUGAAAUAUAUAUAUAUAUAUAUUCAAGGGUUUUUUUUUUAUAAAAAUACUAAUAAAUAUAAUUUGUUUUUUAUUAUUUUUAUAUCAUAAUAAAUCAAAGUUUUGUAAAAUUAAAAAUAGGCUAAAAUACUAAAUAAAAAUCCUUUGAACUAUUUAACAUUUCUUAAAUUAGCUCUUGUACUUUUAUCAUACUUAAAUAAAUUUUUAUCCUUUGAUUUAUAUCUAAAUAAGACUUUAUUUAAAAGGAAAGAUUGAUUUAUGGUUGGGACUUAAUUAGGUAAAAAUUAAAAGUUAAAAGUUAUUUAGAUACAAAUUAAAAGAUAAAUAUUUAUUUAGAUACAAAUUAAAGUUUAAUGAUUUAUUUAAAUACAAUAAAAAUAUAUGAGUUUAUUUAACUAAAAGAGUAAAAUUUAGGAUUUAUUUAUUAUGUUUGCUUAAAAAUUAAGAAAAUAAAAGAAAGGACUUUCUAAAUGUAUCACCAUUUUCACUUUUCACACUUCAAUUUUUUUAAAAUUUGUUUAUAAAUAAAAUUACUUAAUUAUCUUCUUAUAAUUUUGUCGAUAUCUAUAUUCAAUAAAUUUUAUAAAUUUUCAAAAAAUUAUAUAUAUACAAGGGGCAAUUUAGUGCCAUUUAGUGUUAACUCGUUAGUGACUAUUGGGUGCUUGGAUAAAGGUUCUAAAUUGGGUAAAAAAUGGAUGAAGUAUGCCAACAAUUCUUAAUUUAGGAUAGGUAUAUCUAUUUUGUAUGCUUGUUUCCUCACUAUCUUCUUUAUUUUUGUUGGAUGUUUGAUUGUUUAAUUGAUUUUCAGUUAUGAUAGAUUUGCUGUAUAUGUUUUACAGCUUAUGGCGUUGAUAUGUUGAAUACAAUUGGUUAUAUAUAUGCAAGACAAGCAGCAAAAGAGCUUGGGAAGAAAGCAAUAUACUUGGGUGUGCCAUUCAUUGCUGAGUGGUUUAGAAACAAAGGCCACUUUAUUAAAUCUCAAGUAACAGCAGCAACUGGUUAGUAAAUGCUGCUAACUUUAAUUGUUAGUACACAUAAUUAUGUUUUGUUGAUAACUCGUUUGAUUUUCUACUACUGUCAGAUUAAGUUUGGGUCUUUAUUCAAUCCUUAACAAGGAAAAAUCAAUUGUGUUGUUAAUGUUUCUUACAAAGAAAAUUUUUGCAGAAAGAAUUAUUGUGUUUCAUCUAUUUUUUUUUUCCCUUCAUGGCAUAGGUGCAAUUGCUUUGCUUCAGCUGCAGGAGGACAUGAAGAAGCAGCUUAAUGCUGAAGGAAACUACACUGAGAAGGAGCUUGAAGAGUACUUGCGAUCUCACAAGAAGCUGAUGAUUGAUUCAUUAUGGAAGCUUAAUGUAGCCGACAUAGAAGCUAUCCUUUCUUGUGUUUGUCAAAUGGUUGUUUCACUUGUUUCUUCUUUUAUGACUGUUAGAUGGCACUGGUUAGAUAUUUGUUAUAUGUUUCUUGUAUCUAUCAAACUAUUGUUUUAGGUUCUCCAAGAUAACAGCGUCAAGAAGCUUCAACGAAGAGAAAUCUGCUCCAAGCAACAUCGUGCUUUCUCCAUCACCGAUGCCCAGGAGCGCUUCCGCAACAUCUGCUUGCAGGUUCUUUCUUUAACCUAACCUUACUCCUUUAAUUAUUUUAUUAUUUCAUAAUUUUUCUUCCAUAUAUUUUGCUAAUUUUCUUUUCCUCUUGUUUUGGGUGUUCAAAUUGCACGAGAAUUCUGCUUUCUAAUAUACAGUUUCAGUUGAGGUAUCUACUCGGUCAUGCUUCCAAGUCCAAACCUUGUUUUCCUUUUUUCUUUUUUUUCCAGAUAUCAAUCUAAGGAAAUUUGAACAUUUUAACCCUAGUUGCAAAUUUGUGGGAGGGUACAAAGAAAGAUCUAGCGUUGCAUCAUUAGUGCUCAAAUUAGUUUGAUACAUAUUAUCUGUUUAAUAGUUUCUGUUCUAAUCAUAUUCACCGGCUUUGAUCUAUAAUAUACAACUAGAGUAUAUUGCCUACCCUUUCAAUGUUACCUUAUGAGAUAUCGCUGCAAACCUGAUCUACUUCAAUUGUUUUUUAAAUUUUGAUAUUUUUAGAUUUAUGGCUGUUUAAGUCUUUAAUAUGAUCUAUAAAAAAAAGGGGUCUUUAAUAUGAUUAAUGGUAAAAGACAAAAGCUUGAAACGGUGGAGUAUUUGUGUCAAAAGAUUCCUGAUGAUGAUUUCAAAACUUCCAUGAAUGAUGAAGCUUAUUUGAGAAUUUUGAGUAAGAAAUGUAGGGUCAAAUACGUAGGUUGAAAUCAAAACGUAGAUGCUUUAUUUGCAUUUGCUGGUAUUCAGACAAACAUGUUACAUUCCUGCUAUUUGAACCAGUUCACCUUUGGUUGAAUAGUUAUAUGUGUAUUAUUCUACAUUAAGUAGCAGGAUAGAAAAGGGUAUUUCUUUCCUUUUGUUUAGUUGGAAGUCUAUCAAGCAAAAGAUUAAUUUCAAAGGUCAAUGGUUUAUCUUUUAUUUGUGUAGCCAUGGGGACAAAUCUGUUUGCAUUGCUGUUCUUAUUGAGCUUUUUUAUUAAAUUCCUGUUGGUGAUAUGUUGCAAAACUAUAUAGGAGGAAUAUGAUACUCAUGAUCCAAAAGGGCAUUGUUCGAUGGUAUUACCAUUUCUGAGGAAGAGGUCAAAGAUUAUAGAGAUUGUAGCUGCACGAGACAUUGUCUUUGCUCUUGCCCAGUCUGGUGUAUGUGCGACAUUUAGCCGAGGUAGGAGCUGUGUUUCACACUUCUAAACUUAUUUUGCAUGGGCUUGCCUAUUUCUAUUUGCAUCAAUAAUUAGAAUGGGAAUUUUGAUAUUUUAUUGUUUUGGAUGCAGAGGCUAAUCAAAGAAUAUGCUUUCUAAACAUCACUGCUGAUGAAGUUAUAAGAAGCUUGUUUUAUAAUAAAAACAAUGACUCACUUAUCACAGUCUCAGUUUACGCUUCAGACAAUUUCAGCUCUUUGAAAUGCAGAAGCACAAGGAUUGAGUGUGUCAAUCUUUUUAACCUCUUUACAACACUUAUCUUAUCCAAUUUGAGCCGAAAGGAGAAAAAGGGAAAAAAUCUAAGAAAAAACAUGAAAUACUGCAUCUGGGCAUUGUAAUUUGUAAUUUGCAUUUGUUUUCUUCUGAAACAAUUCUGUUUGACGAACAGAUACAUACGGAGAGGUCAACCUGAUGCUGGUUUUGCCCUUUUUGAAUCCGAGUCACUGAAGUGGCCUGGUUUUGUGGAAUUUGAUGAUGUAAAUGGGAAGGUACUUUCAUAUUCUGCACAGGAUAGGUAAGUAAUCAUCCAUAUGACUGUGCUUUUGUGCUAAAAUAUAAUAAUUGGAUCCUCAACUAGAUUCAUGAGUUUUGACAUACUGUUUUUUGUCUUUUAAUCAGCAUAUACAAGGUGUUUGACCUAAAAAAUUAUACGAUGCUAUACUCAAUAUCGGAUAAAAAUGUUCAAGAGAUUAAGAUCAGGUAAUGCUCCUUUCAUGAUGGUUAUAUCUUCUUGCUACAAAAAUAAAGAUUAACUCAUUGAUAGAAAAAAUAAAAAGAAACCUUUCUGAUUUCUUUAUUCUUCUGUUAUAAGUAUUGUUUAGUCCAAACAAGCUUUCGCCUUCUCCUGGAAGCAAAAAUAAAGUACUGAGAGUAAAAAUCAAAUGAUGCCCAUAACUUGUUUGCUUUUGAUUUUGUCACUUAAAUUAAUUGACUUUGUUUCCAUCAUUUUUUUUUUGACAGUCCAGGGAUCAUGUUAUUGAUUUUCACUAAAGUUGGUGGCCAUGUUCCUCUUAAGAUUCUCUCAAUAGAGGAUGGUACUGUUCUGAAAUCUUUUAGCCAUCUUCUUCACCAGAAUAAGAAGGUGGAUUUCAUUGAACAGUUCAAUGAAAAGCUUCUUGUGAAGCAGGAAAAUGAAAAACCUCCAAAUUCUUGAUGUAAGUAUCAUUGUCAAUUUAUUGCAAUCUCAUGCAUUUUUAAAAGCUAAAAAAUCAAAACUGUCAUUGUGCAGGUCCGCAAUUCUGAGCUAACAGAAGUUAGCAAAUGAAUUUAUGACCCGUCGGCAUUCAUAUUUCUGUAUGAGAACCAGUUAUUCCUUACAUUUAGAAAUCGCAACGGUGGCUGUCUGGAACGUCGUGGAGAACUUGUAAACUUCAUUUGAGGAUCACCUUUUGUGGCAUCCUGAUUGCAACACUAAUAAUAUAUACAUCACAAGUGAUCAAGAUCUUAUUAUCUCUUACUGCAAGGCUGAUUCUGAUGAUCCAUUGUCUGAAGGAAAUGGUUUGUUUUUUUCUUUCUUUAAAACUUAUUCCAUCUUACAUUUUCUUAGAAUCUCUAGCUGCUCUUCCUCCUAUAGAUAACUGUAUCUCUCCUUUAAAUAGUAUUUUGGCUAUAGCCUUUCUGUCCAUUUGAAUUUUGAUCUGAGUUCAGAUUUAGCUUGUUAUUUUGAUAAACUGUUUCCAUAAAGGUUAUAGAAAUAAAAAGUAGAAACCACCAGUUGCAAAAGAAUACUAUCCAGUAAACAUUAAAUUUAAUACAUCAUUGAAGGGUUUUUUGUAUCAUCAAUUUUGCAUUACAUUGUAAAGGGCUCUAUAAUAUUGCUUGGGUAUCUUAAUGAUUUCUUUUUUUAAAAAAUGAUUUAAAAAGGCUUGUUGAGUUGUUCUAUGUUUAUUGUUUGUUGGCUUUUUGGCAAAUUAUGUGUUUUUAUGGGUUUUUUGGGCUUGGCUAGCUUUUUCAAUUGGAAUGUGGAAAAUUUUCAUCAUUUCCUUGGUCGUUUUGAAGGGAAAUGUACAUGUUCAAAUUUACUGUAUAACAACUAAAGCGAGGAGAGAAAGGGAAAUGGGGAGUUGGGGGAGGGGGAGGGGGGAACAGGGAGGAUGUGAUGGUAUGCUUUUGUAGAGACAUGGAAAGUGUGGAAAAGAUCUCAUCUGGAUUUGUUUCACCGAUAUAUGUGCAUCUAAUGAAUUUUUUACGUCCCUGGUGUGGCAGGAUCCAUUAAUAUCAGCAAUAUAUUGACUGGGAAAUGUCUUGCUAAAAUAAGAGCAAGCAACAGUUUCCCUGUGGAAAAACAAUGCAGCUGCAGUGUCAAGUGUGGUUGCAGAUCAAAGAAGCAGAGCACUGCAUCCAGGAUUAGAAGCACGGUUGCAGAAGCACUGGAAGACAUCACUGCUCUUUUUUAUGAUGAAGAGCGCAAUGAGAUUUAUACAGGUAAUAGGCAUGGUCUAGUUCAUGUGUGGUCUAACUGAUGGUUUGAUUUUCAUUAGAAUUUAUGUAAUUUUAGUUGCUGGAGGUUGAGUUGGUUGUGAAUGGGCAUUAUGAGACUCAUGACACGAAACUGUACCAUUAUUAAGUGUUAAUUGUAUCAAUUCAUUUAGUUUAUGUUUUAAAUUCAGUCAUUUUCUUGCUUUGAUUUUUGGUGCUGUGUGGGAGUGUGUAAAUUGUUGGUUUAUGUAUGAAUUAUGAUUUUAUGAUGUUGAUGGAGAUGCAUUUUAUUUGGGGUAAUAUGCUAAAUCACUAAAGGGAGGGAUGGAGUGAAGCAUUUGCUGGGCUCUAUGCCCCGUCUUCGACUAUGAAUGGAUGAAUGUAAUGAAGGCAUGUCUUUUGAAUCCCCUAAACUUGAAUGAUGAGCAAAGCAAAGCAAGCGUGGAAUAGAAGAAGAGCAGCAGAAAGGGAGAAGGGGGUCUGUAACAUUUUGGUAUGCAUUGCUAUUGCUUGUUUGUUUGUUUGUGUUAGAUGAGAUGAGGAGGACAUAGAUAUUGCUUAGUAUUAGUAGGAGGAGGAAAGAUGAAGAAUCAGAUAUUCCGUGGCGUGUGGGGGUUGAGAGUUAUAAUGUGUUGGAUGGAAAUGGAAGUUGCAAGUUGCAAGUUGCAAGGGACACAGGGAAAGAGAACGUGCGAAUGUGCUUUACGAAUGGCCAGUCAAGCCAAGACAACAAUGUUGUUCAAGGUGGAUUUAUAAUUCGUGGGUUUACAACCAGUAAAACAUUAAAAUUUUAUAUAUUUAUCGUUUUUUAUAUAAAAAUUAUAUAUUAUAAUAUAUUUUGAUAUAAAAAAUAUAAAUUAAAUUAUUUUUUAUCGUACUAUAUUAUAAACUAUAAAAAAAUAAUAAUAAAAGAUCAUUAAUUAAUUAUUAUGGUCACGUGGGUUCUUCGCGUGCUUUGCACUUUUCUAUUUUUCAUCAGCUCCUAUCUAUUUUUAUUUACUAUUUACUAUUUACUAUUUAUAUUUUAUAUAGCUAGACGUUCAAAUUGUUUGGUUGUUGCAUAUAAAAAAUUUCAAAAUUUUGAGCACUUUUUUCAGAUUUAAAUUGUAUUUGAAAUGUGAAAAAGCAAAGAAAAAUGAGGUACUCCAUAGCAGAUGGGAAAAAAAAUACACAAAAAUGAAAUAAAGAAAAAGGAUGUAGAAGCAAAUUGAUUUAAAAAAAAAAAAAAAAGAUUUGAGUUGGAAGUAAUGGAGCGUGAGAUGACGCGAGUGGCUUUGGCGACAACAGCUUGGUAAUGAUGAAGUAAUUAUUAUUACUAGGGUAGAUGAAGAAACGCGCCUACUGCCUUUGCCUGUAAUCUCCACUCUACAACACACGGGACACUGCCGACUGGACUGCUCUUCUUCCUUUUAUUUCAUCUCCACGCUAUCUUUUACUCUGCCCGUUUUUGUUUGCAAGUAAUUCAACUUUUAUGUACUACAUCUAUUACAAUUAGCAUUAUUGGAUCCCAAUUUACAAGUAAUAAUAAUCGUAACUAACAUUAUUAUUACUAUUUCUUUACCAUAAAAACACAAUAAAAUAUAAACUAAAGUUAGAUUCAGUUGACUUAAAAUUUUUAUUAAUAUUUAAAAAUUAUAAAUUCAAAUAAAUUUAUAUCUAUGCCUAACAUUCUUUUAUUAUAAAAUUAGAUCAGGGGUAGAUUAGAAAAUUAAAAAAAAAAAAAAAAAAACUUAUUUCCAGUUAGUAUUUCACCAGGUUCUUAUCGUUUUAUUUACAUUUUUUCAUUCUGCUCAGUUUGUUGUUGGAAAUUCCCACUUUCCAUUCACCCCUUGUACUUUCUCAGAUUCCUAUAUAUUGUUGGUUCAACGGAUUUGUUGGAUACCGCUAAAGUUAUUGAAGGUGAGAUGUCUCAGUUGGAGGAAGCCAGAAAGUUUCAUCUUUCUCUAUAUGCUCAGGUAAAUAUCAUGUCUCCUAAUUGUCUGGAUAUUUAAUUAUGCAUGAGCUCUCCUCACUAACAAGAGUUUCAUCUUCUCAGGGUCAUCAAGAUCAUAUUUAAAGUAGCGAAAAAGGUAAAUCUCAUGUUCAAUGCAAUUUAAAGUCGGACACUGUUCAUUACAUUGAUAUAUUCUCUGUUUAGUAUUGUUUUGAUUAAGGUUUCUUCUUUUUCAAAUGAUUGAGGACAUAAGUGGUGUCUCUUUUCUGUCUUGCCAAUCUCCUUAAUUCUGUGGUGCACUUGCGCCCUUGGUAUCUAAAAGCCUCGAGAGUUUUAAUUGUUCUCUUUCCUUGUUGAACAGAUAUAUGCAACUCAAUAGACAUGGUCCCAACAUCCAAAGUAAAUGCCAUUCUUUACAACUUUUUUUGUCAAUUUUUCCUCUAGGUCCGUUAGAAGUUGAUCUUAUGAUUCUACAUAAUACUUCACCAUACUUUUAUUGUGGCCACUAAUAUAUGCAUUUGACCUCGGCAGUUCGAAGUCCAGAAUUCAUCAUCAGAAACUUCAAAGUAUGUUCACUCCAUUAAUAUUAAUAUUAAUAUAAUAUAUAUUUAGUUUGUUAGUCUGUUUUAGUUCUCCUGCAAAUCCAACCAACCUUUGGAAAGUGCAUUGCUAGGAAUGAGCUCUUACGUGCUAUGGAAUCAAGACUUAUAGCGUUAAGAAGUGAGUUAGUUGCAGCUUUUAACCAGGCGGUUGGAGAAACCUGCUCCUACAAAGAAAUCUCUCAUCUGGCAAAUUUUUCUGAAAACUUUGGGGCAAAUGAUGUAAAGUAAGUUGCCUUCCAAAAAAAAAGUGCAUGGAUCUUUUAAAUCAUAAUUUGCCCAAAGAAUUUGUAACUGCAAUCUUCUUUUACAUCCCAAAAUUUUUACAACACUUGAUGAAAUGAUUUAUAAGCAACAAAUAAUCUUGUUAAUAUCUACUGCAGGAAUUUUUUGUGCAUGUUUCUAGAGCCGAGCCAAAAGCACCAAAUUGCAGAUCCCCCAGAUGAUAAAAUGUCUUCAUCUGCUCGUGCUUCAGUUAAUGGCAGCAUAAACAAGACUGAUGGAAGUAAACAAAUAUCAAAGCUAGUAAGUUCAGAAGCACCGGUUAAAUACGGUGUUUCACUAGCAAAAGUUGCCCAGGUUGAGCGUCAGACCUCAACAGAAAGUGAGGAAUCUUCUGACUCAUGUGACGAGAAUCAAAUGUCUGCAGAAAGAAGUCGAACUCUUAUAAGAUCUGCAACGCCUAGACGGUCAGCAUCUCCUAUGCGAAGGGUUCAAAUAGGG